UCUUUUCCAGAGGCUAGAUAUAUAGGAGGUUGUGGCUGCUCCAGCAGCUUGGAUUCAGAGUGAGAAGGCAUAAAGGAGAAUCCCCAGCUGACUUGUGCAGUGGUUAAUUGAAAUUAUUCAGGCAAGAGAUGAUGGUGUCUUGGACCAGGGGAUGAGGAAGGCUACAAAAUGUGUCUACCUGUAUUCUGUGAGGAGAACGUGUUCCCUGGUUUUAGAUACUGUGAAGAUGGAUCAGGAGAGAGUUUAUCUAGACUGUUGGGGAAAGGUGUUGCGAUUCCUUCAGCUACACAGGAUUGAAAGGAGACAUUUCUGAAGGGGAAAAAGGAAAUGAAAGAAAAGAUGUUUCAGAUUGAGGAUAUGCUGUGUGGUGAACUUGUUCUUCACUCUGUAGGGUUCACAAAUGACUCUUCACUGCCCUCUUGGAUGAAAUAAACUGGUUCCCAUAGAAAUGGACCGUCUCUGAUUUCACAGUCUAGAGCACACAAAUAACUCAACUUUCUGGAAGCAAGGGUGAUGGCUCGUGAGAGCUCAAGGACAAGGAGGAGUCUGUAGAAGCACACCUGGACUCGGGGAAAUCAUUGACCUCUCAUCCUGAAUUAAGUAGCGCUUGAAAAGACUCUCUUUGAAUCAGAAAAAUAAUGCGAGCUCCUAUCAAACUACCUUACACAGCCAACUGA
ensembl:lncRNA novel transcript